AUUCCAGCUCUGUAAGCGUAUACCAAAGUUGUUGCAGUUAAAACGCUCGUAGUCGGAUUUUGGCGUGGUGCUUCUGAGACCCCUGAUUGGGUGUUGAAGGUAGUCCCGCCUUUGCGGAUGGGGGUGUGGUGGUACUUUGUUGUAUUGCUGCAUUUCCGCCGCUGUUUACUGUGAAAAAAUUAGAGUGUUCAAAGCGAGCGAUUGCCAUGAAUACAUUAGCAUGGAAUAAUAGAAUAGGACCUGAUCCUGUUUUGUUGGUUUGUCGGUAUUAGGUAAUGAUUAAGAGGGACGGUCGGGGGCAUUUGUAUUUCAGGGUUAGAGGUGAAAUUCUUGGAUCCUUGAAAGACAAACAGCUGCGAAAGCGUCUGCCAAGGACGUUUUCAUUG
rnacentral:rRNA from 1 species